CCGGAGGUAGCUCAGUCAGGCCAGAGCUCUGGUUUUGGAAACCAGAAGUCGCAGGUUCAAAUCCUGCCUUUCGGA
rnacentral:tRNA from 2 species